rnacentral:rRNA from 1 species
GAUGAACGCUCGCUACAGGCUUAACACAUGCAAGUCGCGGGGCAGCAUGGGGGUUGCUUGCAAUCCCCGAUGGCGACCGGCGCACGGGUGAGUAACGCGUAUUCAACCUGCCCUUCACCACGGGAUAACCCGGCGAAAGUCGGACUAAUACCGUAUGUUGUCCAUUGACGGCCUCCGAUUUGGACGAAAGGCUUGGCGGUGAGGGAUGGGGAUGCGUCCGAUUAGCCAGACGGCGGGGUAACGGCCCACCGUGGCUACGAUCGGUAGGGGUUCUGAGAGGAAGGUCCCCCACACUGGAACUGAGACACGGUCCAGACUCCUACGGGAGGCAGCAGUGAGGAAUAUUGGUCAAUGGGCGUAAGCCUGAACCAGCCAAGUAGCGUGCAGGAUGACGGCCCUAUGGGUUGUAAACUGCUUUUAUGCGGGGAUAAAGUGGCCCACGUGUGGGCUUUUGCAGGUACCGCAUGAAUAAGGACCGGCUAAUUCCGU